UGGACAGAUUAUUGUAUAUUUAACUGUAUUCACGGCGUGAAAUAGGGGAUUACACUAUUUUUAAAACGGGAAGUGAAUCAAUUAACAUAGUAGACUCCU
rnacentral:pre_miRNA from 1 species